CUGUCCACUGUUCCUAUCUGCUGUCCCUAACCUGAGUGAUUCUGAAACUGCAGCAGCUGCAUUUGGGAGAAGGAGAAGUGUCUGGGAAGAGGCCCUGAAUAAGAAGAAAAGCAGACCGAGACAAGGGGAACCGGAAAGGGACAUGCGCAGAAGUGAUCUAGAAGAUGCUGAGGGAGGAAGACGGGGGUGAGACUGGAAAAUGAAAACAGACACACACAAGGAGGCUGGAACGGAGCCAGGGAAGAUAUACUCCUAGAUAAUGACAACACAGUGUAGACGUGACCCCGUCCUGCAAACUUCGAUUUAUGUGUUCGACACGGAGUGUAUGCAGCAGUCAGAAGCUGGAAAGGACACACGGGGAGGAAGAAGAAUGAGGGUCCCGCCUACCACAGUUCUACCACUUGACCACUGUGGAGAAGCCACUUCACGUCCAUGAAGGAUUCCCUAAGCUAGACUGACACGAGGAAGACUCAUUCUAUGGGCAGCACCAUUCCAUGGACUUGGUUUGGACUGAAGAAAAAGGAAAACGUGAUCUGAGGGACAGCAUUCACCUCCCCUUUCUUCUUGACUGCAGACGCAACGUGACCAAUGACCUCAAGCUCCUGCCAACGCUGUCGUAGUGGACCAUACCCUUGAAGCAAGAGCCUUAAGCCUUCCUAUUUUGACUUUCUCGGGGCCUUAUCUCACAGCAACAACAGAAGUAACUAAUGCAGGAAAUGGGGUACUCAAAAGUGGGGUAGUUGCUGUGAUAAACCUAACCAUGUGGCUCUUAGGCCAUUAGAAUUGGUUUGCAGCAGGAAUGUGAAAGAAUUUGGCAUCAUGGGCUGGAAAAGCCCUUGAAUGCAGUAGGCAGAGUAUAAUGCGCCAUUCUGGUGGGAGCUGGUAAGCCAGGAAUGCCGAGAGAAAUAGAGUAGUGAAGGCCUGAUUCAUGAGGUGCCCGAGGGGACCCAGGGCUUUAUCAGAAACUGGGCUGGUAUAGGUGGCAUUGUAUGUUAUUGGAGGGGGUAUGUGAUGAUGCACAGCCACUGUGUAAAAAUCCUGUCCUUUUCCUAUAAA